GCAAAACCUCAAGGUCAUCCUUGGUGUCAGAUGUUAUAAGACUUCCUCUAAACCAUCAGGUUUUGGAGAAAAGGCAUCCAAAGAUAUACAAGAAAGGAUACAAGUGGCUGUCAGCAUGUUUUCUAUAUAAAUCAUAUAAUGCAAACAAAGGGAGAGCAGAAAAUAUUUCUGUGUGCAACUGCUCCCUUUUAAUUUACCACAUUCUGUAAUAAACGUAUCAUCCAAUUCUCUGAGAAAUAAGAGGUCUUCUAUGGAUCUAAGAGCCAAGCAAAGACUGGGAGAAAGUCAUCUUUCCAGAUAUGGCAACAGCAAAACUCCUGUGAUUGAACGACUGAAGAGUAGAAAUAAUAAAAGUCAACACCUAUGAGAGCGAUGCAUUCCAAUAUGAAGAUGAUGAUCUCCCAGCUGUGUCUCUAGGCGCAGCUAUCUGACACUGGUACAGAAGUGGUUGGCACUCGAACAGCACUGUCCCACCUCUGAAAGCUCCUCCAUGAGGGGAAAAAAGGAUCAGGGGAUGUACAUUUUCUCCACUUUCACUCUUGGACUCUGCGUUGGACAUAUCAACUGUUUGCUGCUGGCCUCGUGCUCAGUGAGAAUGGACAGAAACUAAGAUUUAACCCAGUUUUUAAAACCUUCUGAAAGUUAUUUUAGCAAGAGUGCUUAUUUAGUUUAGGUCAACGUGAUUUAUUUUCUCUCAUACAAAUGAUCACUCUAUUUUGUAUCUAGAUUUUCAUUGCAGCACUUAACAUUGUACAAGAUCACUAUAUUUUGUAACCAAACAAGAGCCUGCACAAUAACAUUGAGCACUGUAUCUAUUAGAAUACACACGUCCUCAAUGCAGGAAUCAGAAAUGCUGAUUAAAAAAGCAUCUCCUUGUGUUUUAUGGUUCAAAUGUAUUAUAAAAAAUGUUCCCAUGAAACAUCUGUUUAGUAUUCACACCAGUUUGGUUUAAAUACACGUCAACAUGUAAUCCUUGUAUUGCAUGUCUGAGUGAAAACAGACCAUUUCAGCAAAUUUAGCUUCUCCUAAACUCCUUCAGAAGUAAUUGGUAAUCUCUACUUUACUGGGUGCAGAAUGUGAUCCGCUAAUGCUAAAACACUCUCAGUGAACUUUAAAAUCUUGCCUUUAAGCAUCAAUUUUUCCUUCUUUCCAUUAUCACUGUUUCAGUGACACAAGAACACAUUCUAAUGGAUCAUUAAAUAAACAAGGAUCUAUCUUUUUACAUUUGGAAAGAUAUUUUGCAAAGAACUGACAACAAGCAUAAAAAUGAAUCAUAAUAACCGUUAAUAUAGAUGCAUGUUUAUUUUCAACAGCUGAAGACUGCUUCUUCUCAGCGCUGAAGAACCUGGCGUUUGAGUAGGAUGGCGAUCAUAAACUGCAGAACUCUAAGGCAGUUAUGGAAGAGCAAAAGAAUAAAAUCUUAAUUUCUUUACCUGCAUUCUCAAGCUGUCAAAGGCUGCAUCAGUGAUGGCAUAACUGCCUAGGAGGCAGGCAAGAUUCUGCAGCAAUCAGGGUUAUUAAAACCAAUCUGAAUUACAGAGGCUAAAGCAAAACUUAUUUCUAUAAAGCAAGGCUUAUUUCUCAAUAUUGUGUUCGGCACAGCAUAAUGAUUAAAGAAUAUUAUUUUUCUGAGUUUUGGGGAGCUUUUAUCACAUAUGAUACUAUUAAGAAUUACUGCAACCCAGUGUUCUUAAACACAAAUAAAACAGUGAUAGACUGAGUAACAGUGGAACAAAAACCAGUCGGCAGUAGAACUCUGAAUAACACUCAUGGAGUAUACAGCUUGAUCCUGACAAGUAUUCUUAUUUAGGAUAGAAAGCAAAUUGAAAAGCUACAAAACCCACAAUUGGACAAGUAUCACUGAAAGGUAUUUUCAAAAGCAAAUUAGUAACUUCAGUGGGAAAAGGAAGGAAGGAAACAAGCUUUUGUGGGAAUUCUCCCAGUCCCACAAAGUAUGCAAAAUCAGACAACGUUAUGACAAAACCUUAGAAGACUCUGCUUACGUUAACACAGCUUUAAGAAGCCAGUUGAGUUCAAACAGAAAUCAAUGGCCAGAAAUAGAAUUUGCAUCCCCGGUACCAGGAGAAAAAAGCAGUAGACAAUAAUUUCAGCUUACAGAUUUUGUUUAUCAUAAAAAUAGUUACUGCAAGGGAAUCAAACAGAUUUUAAAACGAUCUUCACUUUUAGCAGUGUAGGUUGUGUGUUUUAGCAGCCAAACCUGUGGCUUUUGCUCACACAUCAAUCCAUAUGCAGGAUGGAAGCCAAGAACAAACAAACCACCCUCUCCAUCACAGAAACCUACACACCUGGCCCUGUAUUGCUCCACUUAACAAGAAGUCUGACACUUGCUCAGAAGGGAAAGAAUCAUGCCCAACUUGGAAGACAACUUUAUACUAUUUGCAGUAUUUUUAAUGGCAGAGCAGAGGGAAGAUACCAUCUCAGUAUCGUUCGAUAAAAAAUCAAUGUGGAAAGAUGAAAUUCCCACAGAGCAACAGUUGUCACCUCGAGUGUCAACUACACGCUGCACUUCGGCUGCUAAUAUUGAAAUAUGUUGCCUUCAGAGAUCUGUUCAUGCACGGCUUUGCUGCUGCUGCACAUGCAAGUGAGUGGGUAACAGUUGAAGGAUACAUAAGCAAUGUGCUCACUGAAGACGGCUGUUUCACAGCACACAGUGUGCCCUACUGAGUAUGGAAGUUUCAAAAUGGCAGUCAUGAUCUACAGAGUCCAUUUCAGACUCCUCACAUUUGAUAAGGCAUUCCAAAGCCAACGACUGAGACAAGAUCCAAGAACGUGUAAGUCUAGAGCUAUAAAAACAGGAGCCUUUGAGGGAAAACAAAGAGUUUUUCUACUUGCUUUAAACUUCUUUACGCAACUGUUCCUGCUUUGCAAAAUAAGUUUCCCACCGCAGUUCACGGUAUGCUACAUUUGUCUCUGUGUGAAUGUAAUGAAAUUAUCCACAUCUUUGAGUAACAGUUGAAAAUGAGAGUUCCAGACCACUAGAGAUGUUAGGUAAAGCUAAAUAUCAUGCCAGAGCAAACAAAAUAAGAAUGAGUGGAAAUGGACAAUGUGACACAGGGAGUUUUGGAAGAAACAAACAGAGAAGUACUGAAGUUCUCAAAUGGACUGAGUGCACCAAGAUUUAUGUGAAAUACUUUCUCUCUACACUGUUGGAAACACUGUUUUGGGGGUGGGGAUGGAGGUGAGGACAGGGAGGAUUAGAAAAGAGAAUGCAGCAGUGGUGCUUGAUCUAUUUCUGAACAUCAAGAGCCAUAUUUAAUAUAAACUUUCCAUUUAUGCUGCUGGUAGAGAGCAGCUGCAACAAGAAAACAUUCAUGAAUUCUGUAAUUCAUUUUGUCUUGAAAAAUACAACCAGACAACUCUGCACUCACCCCAUGAAUGGGCUGGAUGAUCAAAUGGAACGACAGAGUUUAGAUUGUUAAAUGAGAAGUUAUGAUAUCCUUAUGAGUUCCAGUUCAUGAUUAAUUCUCAGGUAGCUGAUCACUCUGAAAUCUGGCCAAGUUUUGAAGGCAGAGGUCAAAAAGGGACUUCUUUUCAACAGUUAUUCAAAUUUCAAUAUGGAACGUAUCUUACAGGUUUCAUAAAUUUAUUUGAGAGAUUACAGCAGCUUCUAUGAAUAACUGUAUUGUUUUACUUCAUACAGAUUCUGCAGUAUCUGUUCUGUCAAAAGCAGUAAAAAGCCUUUUAAGUGUAAUCUCUAUUUAUCUUCAUUGUUUACAUUAUAAACAUUCUAAACGAUACGCUCACCACAUUGCUAUGAGGUACAAAACAUCACUUCUGUUUGUCAGAAGGUAUUAAAUGACUUAC
ensembl:lncRNA